rnacentral:rRNA from 1 species
UCCGGUUGAUCCUGCCAGAGGCGACCGCUUUUGGAGUUCGAUUAAGCCAUGCGAGUCGAGAGCCUUAGGGGCUCGGCAUACUGCUCAGUAACACGUGGAUAACCUGCCCUAUUGUCUGGAAUAACCUCGGGAAACUGAGAACAAGGCCGGAUAACCCACAAUGCCUGGAACGGUUUGUGGGUGAAGAUAGGAUGGGUCUGCGGCGUAUCAGGUCGUAGGGGGUGUAAUGGACCUCCUAGCCAUCGACGCGUACGGGUGUUGGGAGACAUAGCCCGGAGAUGGAUUCUGAGACACGAAUCCAGACCCUACGGGGUGCAGCAGGCGCGAAAACUUCACACUGCAGGAAACUGUGAUGAGGGAACUCCAAGUGCAUUCACUAUGUGGAUGCUUUUUUUGACUAUUAAUCGGUCAACGAAUAAGGGCUGGGAAAGACCGGUGCCAGCCGCCGCGGUAAUACCGGCAGCUCAAGUGGUCGUCGCUUUUAUUGGGCCUAAAACGUCCGUAGCCUGUUUGGUAAAUCUGUGGGUAAAUCAACCAGCUUAACUGGUUGAAUUCUGCAGAGACUGCCAGACUAGGGACCGGGAGAGGUGUGGGGUACUCUAGGGGUAGGGGUAAAAUCCUGUCAUCCUUAGAGGACCACCAGUUGCGAAGGCGCCACACUGGAACGGAUCCGACGGUCAGGGACGAAGCCUAGGGGCACGAACCGGAUUAGAUACCCGGGUAGUCCUAGGUGUAAACGCUGUGAACUUGGUGUCGG